UUUUUAUUUACAUGAACCAGCUCACAUGCCAACAAAUGCAUCAAAGAGCCUGCUUUUCCUGAUGGGGAGACUAUCAUCACUUAUUUCAUCAGAUUGUACCAGUAAAAAUUUAAGUUUAAACAACCAAACACUGAGAGUGGGACCAGGAGAAGUGAAUUCUCACUCCAAGGGCAAAGCCUUUCCACCUAGUACCACCUUCCCAAAUGGAGCCAGUGAGUGGGCAUUCCAAGGUGCCCAGCACCAUAUUAAUUGAGAAUGGAACUUACGUUUCAUUUUCAGGAAACUUCAUGGUGUUAUGGUCAACUUGCCGCACAACCGUGUUCAAAUCUGUCACCAACAGGUUCAUUAAAAACCUGGCCUGCUCGGGGAUUUGUGCCAGCCUGGUCUGUGUGCCCUUCGACAUCAUCCUCAGCACCAGUCCUCACUGUUGCUGGUGGAUCUACACCAUGCUCUUCUGCAAGGUCGUCAAAUUUUUGCACAAAGUAUUCUGCUCUGUGACCAUCCUCAGCUUCCCUGCUAUUGCUUUGGACAGGUACUACUCAGUCCUCUAUCCACUGGAGAGGAAAAUAUCUGAUGCCAAGUCCCGUGAACUGGUGAUGUACAUCUGGGCCCAUGCAGUGGUGGCCAGUGUCCCUGUGUUUGCUGUAACCAAUGUGGCCGACAUCUAUGCCACGUCCACCUGCACGGAAGUCUGGAGCAACUCCUUGGGCCACCUGGUGUACGUUCUGGUGUAUAACAUCACCACGGUCAUUGUGCCUGUGGUGGUGGUGUUCCUCUUCUUGAUACUGAUCCGACGGGCCCUGAGUGCCAGCCAGAAGAAGAAGGUCAUCAUAGCAGCACUCCGGACCCCACAGAACACCAUCUCUAUUCCCUAUGCCUCCCAGCGGGAGGCCGAGCUGCACGCCACCCUGCUCUCCAUGGUGAUGGUCUUCAUCUUGUGUAGCGUGCCCUAUGCCACCCUGG
rnacentral:sRNA from 1 species